AGAGUUUGAUCCUGGCUCAGAACGAACGCUGGCGGCAGGCCUAACACAUGCAAGUCGAACGCUGCAGCAAUGCAGAGUGGCAGACGGGUGAGUAACGCGUGGGAACCUUCCCAGUGGUACGGAAUAGCCCAGGGAAACUUGGGGUAAUACCGUAUACGCCCCUAGGGGGAAAGAUUUAUCGCCAUUGGAUGGGCCCGCGUCGGAUUAGCUAGUUGGUGAGGUAACGGCUCACCAAGGCGACGAUCCGUAGCUGGUCUGAGAGGAUGAUCAGCCACACUGGGACUGAGACACGGCCCAGACUCCUACGGGAGGCAGCAGUGGGGAAUAUUGGACAAUGGGCGAAAGCCUGAUCCAGCCAUGCCGCGUGAGUGACGAAGGCCUUAGGGUUGUAAAGCUCUUUUGGCGGGGACGAUAAUGACGGUACCCGCAGAAUAAGCUCCGGCUAACUUCGUGCCAGCAGCCGCGGUAAUACGAAGGGAGCUAGCGUUGUUCGGAAUCACUGGGCGUAAAGCGCACGUAGGCGGAUUUGUAAGUCAGGGGUGAAAUCCCGGGGCUCAACCUCGGAACUGCCUUUGAUACUGCAAAUCUCGAGUCCGGAAGAGGUGGGUGGAAUUCCUAGUGUAGAGGUGAAAUUCGUAGAUAUUAGGAAGAACACCGGUGGCGAAGGCGGCCCACUGGUCCGGUACUGACGCUGAAGUGCGAAAGCGUGGGGAGCCAACAGGAUUAGAUACCCUGGUAGUCCACGCCGUAAACGAUGGAUGCUAGCCGUCGGCAAGCUUGCUUGUCGGUGGCGCAGCUAACGCAUUAAGCAUCCCGCCUGGGGAGUACGGCCGCAAGGUUAAAACUCAAAGGAAUUGACGG
rnacentral:rRNA from 1 species